CAUAGGUUAAUGAGGCGAACCGGGGGAACUGAAACAUCUAAGUACCCCGAGGAAAAGAAAUCAACCGAGAUUCCCCCAGUAGCGGCGAGCGAACGGGGAGGAGCCCAGAGCCUGAAUCAGUGUGUGUGUUAGUGGAAGCGUCUGGAAAGGCGCGCGAUACAGGGUGACAGCCCCGUACACAAAAAUGCACAUAUUGUGAGCUCGAUGAGUAGGGCGGGACACGUGGUAUCCUGUCUGAAUAUGGGGGGACCAUCCUCCAAGGCUAAAUACUCCUGACUGACCGAUAGUGAACCAGUACCGUGAGGGAAAGGCGAAAAGAACCCCGGCGAGGGGAGUGAAAAAGAACCUGAAACCGUGUACGUACAAGCAGUGGGAGCCUCUUAAUGGGGUGACUGCGUACCUUUUGUAUAAUGGGUCAGCGACUUAUAUUCUGUAGCAAGGUUAACCGAAUAGGGGAGCCGAAGGGAAACCGAGUCUUAACUGGGCGUUAAGUUGCAGGGUAUAGACCCGAAACCCGGUGAUCUAGCCAUGGGCAGGUUGAAGGUUGGGUAACACUAACUGGAGGACCGAACCGACUAAUGUUGAAAAAUUAGCGGAUGACUUGUGGCUGGGGGUGAAAGGCCAAUCAAACCGGGAGAUAGCUGGUUCUCCCCGAAAGCUAUUUAGGUAGCGCCUCGUGAAUUCAUCUCCGGGGGUAGAGCACUGUUUCGGCAAGGGGGUCAUCCCGACUUACCAACCCGAUGCAAACUGCGAAUACCGGAGAAUGUUAUCACGGGAGACACACGGCGGGUGCUAACGUCCGUCGUGAAGAGGGAAACAACCCAGACCGCCAGCUAAGGUCCCAAAGUCAUGGUUAAGUGGGAAACGAUGUGGGAAGGCCCAGACAGCCAGGAUGUUGGCUUAGAAGCAGCCAUCAUUUAAAGAAAGCGUAAUAGCUCACUGGUCGAGUCGGCCUGCGCGGAAGAUGUAACGGGGCUAAACCAUGCACCGAAGCUGCGGCAGCGACACUAUGUGUUGUUGGGUAGGGGAGCGUUCUGUAAGCCUGUGAAGGUGGCCUGUGAGGG
rnacentral:rRNA from 1 species